UACGUAGGGGGCAAGCGUUAUCCGGAUUUACUGGGUGUAAAGGGAGCGUAGACGGCAAUACAAGUCGGAAGUGAAAUACCCGGGCUUAACCUGGGAACUGCUUUGGAAACUGUAUGGCUGGAGUGCUGGAGAGGUAAGCGGAAUUCCUAGUGUAGCGGUGAAAUGCGUAGAUAUUAGGAGGAACACCAGUGGCGAAGGCGGCUUACUGGACAGUAACUGACGCUGAGGCUCGAAAGCGUGGGGAGCAAACAGG
rnacentral:rRNA from 1 species